AUAUAGAUAUUAAAAGAGACAUACAAGAAAGCAAAAGACAAAAAAGAAAGUACCACAAGCCACACACCAAAACCCUCCCACCAACACGAAACCCAAACCAGGCCCGAAGCCCUCCACAAAACCGAAACUAAAUAGAACAGAAAAAUUCUAUGUAUUUCUGUCUGCAU